CUCAGGUGGUUAGGUAGAGAAUACCAAGGCGAUCGAGUGAAUCGUGGUUAAGGAACUCGGCAAAAUACCCCCGUAACUUCGGGAGAAGGGGGGCCCAGAGGGUGACGGAGACUAGCGCUCCUGAGCCUGAACGGCCGCAGAGACCAGGGAGAAGCGACUGUUUACUAAAAACACAGGUCCGUGCCAAGUCGCAAGACGAUGUAUACGGACUGACGCCUGCCCGGUGCUGGAACGUUAAGGGGACCGGUUAGCCUCACGGCGAAGCUGAGAACUUAAGCGCCAGUAAACGGCGGUGGUAACUAUAACCAUCCUAAGGUAGCGAAAUUCCUUGUCGGGUAAGUUCCGACCUGCACGAAUGGCGUAACGACUUCUCCACUGUCUCAACCACGAACUCGGCGAAAUUGCACUACGAGUAAAGAUGCUCGUUACGCGCAGAAGGACGGAAAGACCCCGGGACCUUUACUACAGCUUGGUAUUGGUGUUCGGAACGGCUUGUGUAGGAUAGGUGGGAGGCUUUGAAGCUGAUACGCCAGUAUCGGUGGAGCCAACGUUGAAAUACCACUCUGGUCGUUCUGGAUGUCUAACCUAGGUCCGUAAUCCGGAUCAGGGACAGUGCCUGGUGGGUAGUUUAACUGGGGCGGUUGCCUCCUAAAAGGUAACGGAGGCGCCCAAAGGUUCCCUCAGCCUGGUUGGCAAUCAGGUUUUGAGUGUAAGUGCACAAGGGAGCUUGACUGUUAGACUGACAAGUCGAACAGGGGCGAAAGUCGGGACUAGUGAUCCGGCGGUGGCUUGUGGAAGCGCCGUCGCUCAACGGAUAAAAGGUACCCCGGGGAUAACAGGCUGAUCUUGCCCAAGAGUCCAUAUCGACGGCAUGGUUUGGCACCUCGAUGUCGGCUCGUCGCAUCCUGGGGCUGGAGUAGGUCCCAAGGGUUGGGCUGUUCGCCCAUUAAAGCGGUACGCGAGCUGGGUUUAGAACGUCGUGAGACAGUUCGGUCCCUAUCCUCUGCGCGCGCAGGAAACUUGAGAAGAGCUGUCCCUAGUACGAGAGGACCGUGAUGGACGAACCUCUGGUGUGUCAGUUGUUCUGCCAAGAGCACCGCUGAUUAGCUACGUUCGGAAGUGAUAACCGCUGAAAGCAUCUAAGCGGGAAGCAUGCUUCAAGAUGAGGUUUCCAUGGGGUUUACCCCGAGAGGCUCCCAGCUAGACUACUGGGUUGAUAGGCCGGAUGUGGAAGUGCGGUAACGCACGGAGCUGACCGGUACUAAUAAGCCGAUAACUU
rnacentral:rRNA from 1 species